CCGCUCACAAUUGUGCUGAAAUAAAGUAGAAAAUUUAUCAGCGAUACAGUAUGCACAAUACAUUCUUACAGCAAGGGUUUUGUUUUCAGGUGUCCUUGUUGAGAAACGAUUUAAGAACCUGCGUGAUAUCUUCAAAAGGAAACAACACGACAUACGUGAAAAAACAAAGAAGUGGAGCCGCAGCAGCCGACAUUCCAACAAUAAAAUGGCCCCAUUUUGAGGCCAUGCUUGAAUUAAUGGAAGGAGAGUCUGAGCCUGUGGCGUAAGUUCAAUAUUAGCUGACUAUUGAGUACUAAACAAAAAAAAAGUUGAUUUAAUUCACAUGACUGUAAUACAUACACAUAAAUACUCACAUAUCAAUACUCAUAAGUACACUGCACAUAAACAUAGAAGUCCCAAGAGGUAAUUCACAUUGGGCAUGCAUGUGAUCAUGAACAUGAUGGCAAUGGGCUGUUUUGAUGUCGAAUAACUGUGGCUACAGCUACGAAGAAUAACUCAGUGCAUCAUUCUUUCUGGAUACUGUGCAACAUGAGUGCCAUUGACCAAAGCAGCCACAUCACAGCAGAAGAGGCUAACGAGAGAUCACCGCCUCGGCCAAGACAUGCAGCGGAACCGGAACGUACCCCUGAUACGGCUGAGGAGACUCGUGUCGACACCUGCAGCAAUGAGUAAAACCUUUAUGAAUCCACCUAAGUAAUGACAAAUGAAG
rnacentral:misc_RNA from 1 species